GGGGAGCUAGGGAAAUGUAGAUUCUAAUAAAUAUGGCUUGCAGGAGUCGAUGAACAAAGGUACUUAAUGCAGACCUAAGCCUCCGUUGAUAUUGCUCCGCUAGCAGUAUCUAAAUAUUCAAAAGCAAAGUGGCUCUCUCGCUGCCAUGACACUCAAUCAAAGCACCUAGAGUGGGCUGGCCGAUACCAGAGGGGGUACCAAGCAGAGCAAGGACAGAGAAAAGCACUGGGAGAACACCAGAACUGGAAAUAGAGCAGCCAUUUGGAUUUGGGCAGGAAGCAGCCGUGCACAGCUUUGGAUCCUUCUUUAGGGAAAUCGAGUUAUGGAUUUAUGGUCCCGGUCAAGCUCAGCCCAGCCCCAGCCAGGGGCGGGCUCAGCAGCAAGAGUUCUGGUGGCGGCGGCGGCGGCAGUAGCGGCGGCAGCGGUAGCAGCGGCAGCAGCAGCUUGGUCCUCUGACUCUCUUCGGUGACGGGUAUUCUUGGGUGGAUAAUACGGAUUACGUUGUUAUUGCUUAAGAAUACGCGUAGUCGAGGAGAGUACCAGCGGCAGGCGGGCAGCGGCCGCCCCUCCCAGCCCACCAGCUGGCCUGUAAACGCCUGUGGUUGCCAAGGUAGCACUUUUUUGAUCUUUUCCUUUCCUCGGUGUUUUCGCUCCGGGUCGCGUGUUAGGUGAUUACAAGACACAUCCCACCAGAAAGGCAGUGCGCGCCGCGCCUCUGGUGACCCUGGCUGUAGAAUGGGUGCGUGUCGGAGGGCUGCAGUCGAGGCGGAGGGGAGGGGCGGGGAAAGGAUGGGGUUCUGUUCCAAGAAGCCUGCGGGGAGUUUCGGGGUCCCUGGCCUUCUAGUCUUCUCGUCUCCUUUCCCCCGUGGGCUCCGGCUGCAGGGAACGACAUGGACUGGGCGAAUCUCGAAAGUUGGGAGUGAUUGAAAGGCCUUGAGCAGUUUGGCAGCGCUGCGAGUGAGGAACUGGCGCUCAGCAGAGGGUCGCUGGGGGCUGCCUGCGCAGAAAGGGCGUGUCCGUGGGCGAAGGUGCCCCCGCAAGCAAGCUGCGGAAGCUUGUGACUUCGCGAAUCCCGGGCUGGGGCGGUGCCGGAGCCCCACCCCCAGCAGUACCACUCGGCUGCCAGACCUGGCUGCCGGGUGUGGAGCGGGCGUGAGGCCCGGGCCUGGGUCCCCCGGAACUUCCAGACUGGAAGUGUGGCGGGUCUCUCAGGGCCCUAUAUUUUCUUUUCGGAUUCUCCGCGAAGGGGUGGAGAAUCAGGAUGGGAACUGGAUUGGUUGCCGUGUGGCACAGAACUGGAACCUUCCUGAAAGUGGUGGGGCAGGCAGGGACUGUUCAGUCGUCCAGUUUCUUUGGGACAUCUCUUCAGCGCUGUCCUCCCUGCCUCUGCCGUUAGGACGAGUAUCAAACAUCAACAAACCCAAGGCACGUUCCCUCUCUCAGGUCUGCCGCGAUGGGACUAAAGGAAGAGCGAGCCUUUCCCUCCUUCUACGUCCAGUUGUUGUUUUGUUUGCUUGCUUCAAAUAUUAAUGGAAGAUAAAGCCCUACGGAUUUGUCUAAGAUAGAAAGGAUCCUGGCGAAGAGCAUUCCGCCACUCACCGACCCCCUCCAGCACACCGGGCAUCCUGAGGACCACCGGGUGUGUCAGGGAUUGAGAUGCCCAAGAUGAUUCUGGAAAAGAUGAUCCAGCGGAGAAGGUGCGGGCCAAGGAGGCUCCACUCUCAGCUCUUGUGAGCUUAAGACGCGGCUCUGCAACUCUCCUUUCCCUCCGGGGAGGCGCCAGGACCCGCCCAGUGGCGGCGCUUCAAAGGUAGAAGGAGAAAAUGCUGGGGACUAGAACUUACCAGGCACCCAGAAGGUUCCACGAGGCUCACCAAAAACCUCCUGGGACCCUAAGACCAAGUUUCCUCCCUGCAUGGUGGCUGUUGAUUGUGCACGGGCUGCGAAGACUACAUUCCUGAGAAGUCCAAGCUGCGGGGGUAGGGGGAUGGGGGGAGUAAGAAGCCUACAAAGCGUCUACCUCGCAGCGCUUCCAAACCGGCUUUAAGCCGAGCGACGCCCCAGACACCUUUUCCCUUUAGAGGAUGGGCCUUUCCUGGGCGCGACUACGGUGCAUGUACCCCGUUGACUUCUUGCCCAGGAGAGCAGCUCUGAGCCCUAGAGACGUUAAGAGCAAAGUGCCCCGUAGGAGGCAGGCACAUCCUCACACUUCCAGUGUAGAAUCUCGCCUUUCUUCCAGUACUUUGGAUUCCUAGUGAUGGGUACACUGUGCCACUCCUAUACCUGCCCCUAUUCCUACCACGCCGCAUCUGAUCCCACAGUUACUUUCAGGGUAUCAGUACUCACGGCUUUUGAGCUCAGGGAAGGUGGUUUGCAAGGCAAGUGAGUGGGGGCCCUUCUCAGAAGCUCCCAGGGCUGACAAACCCGUUUUAAGAAUGAGUCUAAGUAGAAAAGGAAACACAGAUGCUGUCUUUGCACUCGGAAUUCUAUCACUAGCAAAAGAAUUUUGAACCACUGUUCUUUCCUUCAUUGUUUCCCUUUCUCUAGGUAGUCACUAUUUGGUGUUUAAGGGCCUUUAAAGAUUGCCUUUAUUAAUGUAUUUAACAAAAUUCAAUAUGUCUGCUGGUUCCCUGGUUUCAUCUGGAAAUUGGCAAAGUAGGGAGAAGCUACAUAAUCUAGUAAUUUGGUGAGCUUUGAAAAGUUGGACUCAUGCUGUUUGGCUAAAUAAGUGUAUGAGAUUUUAAAGGCAGAAAAGCAACUGAGAACCCAGUGAGAGUUUGCAAGAAAUGAAGGAUGUAAUACCCUGGCAUUUGUUGAGAGAAUGAGGAAAACUUCUGAAAAAUAAGCUAUUUCAUUUAGUUCUUUACCACUGGUACUUUAGUUUAUCAUUAUGACCGCUUCAUAAGUGAAUAAUAAUUUUUACAGUGGAAUAACUUUAAAUGCUAGUGUUGAAAUCUAGAGGAAACCUCUACUCAUCUCAUGGCCAGCAGAAGUAGUUGGCGUUCUUGGUUCGAGUGACUUACAUACUUAUCUCAUUGCUUUCUUUCCUUUGCAGAAUUAUCUCUUAUAAAAGUUUCCAUUAGGUGUCAGUCUGACUGAGCUGGCUCCUAUUUAAAUUUAGAAAACAAACAAAAAAAAUUAUGGGUUUUAUCAUACUUUAUCUUUUUAGAUAAGGAGGAAAAUUCCCAAAUUAUUAAAUUGAAAUUACUGUAGUUAAUUGUUACUGUUAUAAGGCAGCUUUUUUUCCCCCUCAGAAAACAGAAUUUUAAAUUACAUCAGAACUAGCUUUUGCCUAGUUCAAAAGUUCUCACUUUUGCCAUGUUGGUAUCAUCCAUACAGACAAGAUUAAAGAAGUAGGAAGUGAUAGUGUAUUUUUUUCAUGCUAGGUACAAAUGAUUGUAAGUAAUAAUAAUAUUUGGAUUGUUUUUCAAUUGAUGUCCAAAUAUUAGAAGCGUAUGCAUCCUUUUUCUAAAAUUUGGUUUGCUUUACAAAAGUGACAGAAUUUUUUUCCUGAGAAAAGCAUAUGGAUAUUUGACAGUAAUACUUGAGGCACAAUGGAAGAGAAAGGAGAAAACUUGUGAAAAUUGCCUUUGUCUGCUAUUUUUACCUUAGUUAAUUCUGCCUAAGUAUUCAAAAUUUUAUGAACACAAUUUAUGGCUUUUAUUAGAAAAUUUUUGUUUUCUCAUUGAAAUUUAUAUGUCUGCGAACACUCAAAUUUAUAUUAUAAUGUGAUAUUCAUUAAUAGGUGUAAGAAAUAUCAUCUUGGUUGAUGGUUUACUACUGAGUCUCAGGUAAGGAGAUUGACAGAAACUGAAUUUUACAAAGACUUUUCUGAUUUUAUUUUUUGUUUAUGAAUCACAUUCUGAUAUUUUUGCUCAACUAGAACUGUAGGGAAUGGCAGUUUUCACGGUUAAACAUCCAUUGAGUAUCAUGAAAACCUCUGUAUAAAUACAAAAAAAUAUUACUGUAUAGAUGAUUCUGACCGAGUACAUUUUUAAAUUAAUAAUCAUGUCCUGGAGCCAUUAUCUCUCUCCACAUCCACUGUUAGCCCUAGAAUGACGUGGUUCUUGGUGUCCCAGCAGUGCCAGUCUAGAACUAGAAUUGUCAAUGAAUGUCCAGGCAAUGGAGUAGCAUUUUGAUGGGUAGAAAAUUCCAUAAGUCAUAUUAUCAUUUUUUAUUAGAUUCCACAUCAGUACUGGUAAAUUUUCAAGUAUAGAAAUAGACAAUUUUUUGUCAGGGUGCAGAUGACAGGCAUAUUUGGGAGUAUUUUGUGCUUUUAUGUAGGACAGAGAAGGGCUAAAACACAGAAGGCAAUAUAAGAUGAUCAUGAUUAUCCACCAACUUUUCAAUACUGUACAGUGUCAGCUGUCACUGAAUCACAGAAAUGACAGGAUGACGUUCUUGCUCUUAGACAGUAGUGUAAUCUGCAUUUUAGAUUUACUAUUUGAAAGUAAAUUUAUUUGAUGAUAAAUAUUCUCAAUAGAAACAAAACAUAUUAAUGACAGAAUACUUAAAGACUUUUGUUAUUAUAUUUAGCUAUUACAUUUAGUUACUGGUAGUUAUACACCCAUAAACAUAAAUGCUCAAUAUGUUUUAAAUGAGUUUUGUAGUACAACUUGUUUUUCUAAUGUUUUGAGAUUUUUUUUCCUCUGGCACCUGUACUUUAAAUCAUGAUGUAGAAUGUUUAAAUUUAAAUUUACAAAGCAUUUCCUGUGAAUAUUUAUUAUAAGCUUUAUAUUUGAGAAGACUUUACAGUUCAUCCAAAAAAUGUAAGCCAAAGAGAUAUGAUGACAUUUUAAGUUUCUUGAAAUAUGUUUAGUAUGAUUGAGUUUGCUGAGUAUAGCUUGAUGGUAGAACCAGUAUGCCCCUAAUAUUUGUAUUGUUGUCCCAAAUUACAAAUAUGUGACCAGCUAAAUCUUUUGCAUUCUGAAUUCUGUUAUAGUCUGGUUAAUAAUGAGAGCUAAAUAAGACAAAGAGAUCUCUAAAAAUCAAUGAAAAG
ensembl:lncRNA